CCUACGGGGUGCAGCAGUGAGGAAUAUUGGUCAAUGGGCUUACGCCUGAACCAGCCAAGUCGCGUGAGGGAAGACUGCCCUAUGGGUUGUAAACUUCUUUUAUAUGGGAAUAAAACAGGGUAUGCAUACCCUCUUGUAUGUACCAUAUGAAUAAGGAUCGGCUAACUCCGUGCCAGCAGCCGCGGUAAUACGGAGGAUGCGAGCGUUAUCCGGAUUUAUUGGGUUUAAAGGGUGCGUAGGCGGAAUGCCAAGUCAGCGGUAAAAUCGCGGGGCUCAACCUCGCUCCGCCGUUGAAACUGGCGUUCUUGAGUGGGCGAGAAGUAUGCGGAAUGCGUGGUGUAGCGGUGAAAUGCAUAGAUAUCACGCAGAACUCCGAUUGCGAAGGCAGCAUACCGGCGCCCAACUGACGCUGAAGCACGAAAGCGUGGGUAUCGAACAGGAUUAGAUACCCCGGUAGUC
rnacentral:rRNA from 1 species